rnacentral:lncRNA from 1 species
GGGAGAGGCACAACUGAUUCCCAUCACUCCCUGGCAUCACUCAAGAGACAUAACAUGUAUGGAGAUUGCUGCUCUCCUUGGAUUCAUGUGAGAGCAGCACAGCUCAGCAUAAUGUGACAGCAUCCUUAACUCCAAGAGAGAUGACCAGCUUUCCUGUAUGGGCAGAUAUUGCCCUGAUGGUGUGGAAUUUUGAAGUCUAUUUCUUGAAGACAGAAUCUAUAUCCUGAGGCAUAGCAAGAAAGAGGAUGAAGACAGGAUUGACCUGGUCCUUCUUAGUGGUAUUUCUCCACAUAAAACCACAAUAUAUUAAGAAAAAGAAGAACACUAUUAUUUUUUCUCUUCAGGUAUAUGUAACCUUCCUUGAUAUUAAAGGCACCAACAGUCUCUGCUGGCAGCAUGCAUAGAACAGACCUCCUUGAGGAGGGAGUGUAUCAAACACUGCUAUCAAGUAGUGAAGAUAAAUCAGGAUCCCGUUAAUACAAAGACACAGUAAGUUUUGCUUGGCUUGUGUGCUGUACAAAGGUAGCCUCAUAAUGAGCUAACAGCUCAGGAAAUGCAAUCUGGUAGCAAAGUAACCCCCAAGGGAGAUCAUAUUGUUAUAUUAUUUGUACAUUAUUUGUCAUAGGAGUAUAAACGCUAUUGUCAAUUUGAUUUCUUUCAUUGUAGUUUAACACAUUUCUGAUCUGAUAAAAAACUAAAAACAAUAAACAAC